rnacentral:lncRNA from 12 species
CAAAUAGCAUGCCGAUCACUAUUUAAUUGGAUCAUUCUAAUCAUUUUUUAUAUGAGUCGAUAGAUGCUAGCCUGACAAAGCUUAGCAUCUGUCAAAUAUGAGAUAGUUGUUUUAAAACUAAGGAUUUAUGCAAAGUCCGUUUCUACAUGCCAGUUAAGACCUGUAUUUUUAUGUGUUUUGACGUUGAUAAAAGCAGUUGAGCGUGAGGCUGAAGAGUUCCAUCUCAGAUGUAGUUCAGAAAUCAGUAGUUCAGAAUCUUUACUGGGAGACGCCAGGCCCAGAGGGCUCAUCUGUUGCAUCUACCAAAUAUUCAGUUGAACCAACGGUUUCAUGUUCACAAAGUCUUCCAGAGAAUAGAAAAAGAAAGAACAUUCCGUGGCUCAUUUUAUGAGGUUAGCAGACAUCUCGAUACCCCUGACGGAUAGCGUUUUCCCUCUGCUCCGCAAUUAUCCUCUGGGCUUUUUUCUAUCCCUCUGGGGUUAGAAGGCAGCAAACUCCAUCUCGUAGCCUCCUGCCAUCUGGCUCCCCGUCAGUUUCUGCUAACGUGAGGCACUGACAAGAGUCUGGAAAACGAGACUAAUGGUGAAAUGAUUUGUUUCUCAUUCCUGGCAGCAACUCCAGCCGCAGCAGCCUCCUGUCAGGGCCGGGACUGCUUAGUCAGCUCCCUUCCACCUGUCAGCAGCCUCAGGACCACGGUAGUCCUAAGUACCAGGCUGUCACCUGAAACAGAGAAGGUUGUGAUCUUUGACUUUGGGGAAUUAAGACAAAGAGGACCCCUACUGGAGAGGACACGCUGCCCCAGAUGCUGGAGGAGGGAAAAGUACUAAAAACAGCAAUGUCCAGUAGAUGUCCCAGAGAAAAUACUCGUUCAUCAGCUCCAGGAACAGUAAGAUUAUUAAGUUAUGUAUUAUUAUGUAUUAUGUAUUAUGUAUUAAGUUAUUCUUCCCAGGUCUUCUAAUGUUUUCACUUACCUGCCUGUGUGGGGGAUAAUUAAGAUUCCUGAUAUGCUCACAGUGAGGACCAAUGGGUGAACAGAUUAGCUGCAGCCUGGAGAAUUAGGUAUAAUGCGAUAGGGGGUAACAGUAGGAGAGCACAGAACAUCAUUUUGUAGCAGCUCACUAUGGAAUAGCUGACUAGCCAAUAUCCCUCUUCUACCUUGAGGCAGGGUUGGGGGGGAAGGGGCAAGAGUUCCUGGUUCCUAUGAGCCAUUACAUUAGUCCCAGCUCCUUUGCGUGUUGUUGGUGUAAAUACCUAAGCCAGUUGACACCAGUGAGAAGUGAAGAGUGUUUGCUGGAGUGUUGACUUUUAAGGGAAAGCUAUAACAAGCCAACUUCCUGCUCCCUAGACUUGAAAAUGGAACCCUAUAGUUCCAUUUGCUACAAACUACCAUCUUGUGGCCACAAAGGAAAUUUGGGAUAAAGCUGAUCUGGUGGAUGUAGUGGGAAAAGAAAGAUUGAACCUUCUUUUCAACAACAAACUGAAGCAUACCCUACCCCCGGAACUACUCUGAUGUGAGUCGAUACACACCUUACUUUUAAAGCUCUUUUUGGGGUCAGAUUUCAUGCUAGUUGAAACUGAAAGCAUUUUAACUGAAUCAAGUGUUGGUACACAAUCAUCAGGAGGAUUUAUGGGAAAAUUUAACAUUCUUGAAGCUCAAAAAUAUUAAAGGAAAGAAAUCCAAGAAUGAGAUGAACUACCUGCAAAAGUUUUAGAUGAAUGAUUGUACUGUAGUUGUUGGAUACUAAAGAGAGAAUUGAUGCUAGAUAAAGGACUAGGAGACGUUUGGGACAUGCAGGGUACUCAAAAGUGUACAGAUUUCUGCAGAACCAAAAGUCAGGGAGUUAUAGAAUUCUGAGACCAUCUUAAUAGUCAUAUUGGAAAAAUAAAUCAUUGGAAAAUGAAAAAUAAGUACUUGGA